rnacentral:sRNA from 1 species
UGACCACCUGAAUCUUUCGGGUCAAGGCCAUACGGACAGCCGGGUCAACUGCCGA